AUCAUCUCGGGAUCUUGUUAAAAUGCAGAUUCUGAUGUAGAAUGAGAAUGACUCUAAAGCUAGGCCUGAGAUUCUGCAUUUUUUAACCAGCUCCCAGGUGUGGCCAA
rnacentral:pre_miRNA from 1 species